rnacentral:snoRNA from 1 species
CCCCGGAUUGAUAACUGGAUGAUGUGAUCGGAUAUCAGUCCCAUAUUGUCUUUUAAGUAUCCGGGAUAGCAAAAUUGGGAAAUGCUUUUUACACGAUGUGAUGCAACAACUGUUAUUAUCGUUUACUUUUCCCGUACAGGC